CUCGCUACUCCAUGCAUGUAUCCAGCUUAGCCGUGACCACAGUUUAAGGAGCUUUGGCUUUUGUUUAAUCCCGUGAAAAUCCCUUUUCCGGAGCUCUGACGCGAACGAAAAAGGGUCACCCAUGGAACUAGAAAGGCUUCUCACCUGUUAAGUUAGCUGAACAACAGACCGAUGUGUCACAACGUGAUUCUUACCGGUGUUGGAACUAGGCAGUCUAGGGGACCUCUGCUCGAUAGCAUGAUGAAAGGGAUUGAAGGCCGAGCCAC
rnacentral:lncRNA from 1 species